ensembl:lncRNA LINC00933 long intergenic non-protein coding RNA 933
AACAGCACCACCGCCCCCGCUACCGCCUGGGAAAGGGCUGCCCCUACCCCGCUCCCGUCCCUCUCGUCCCUCACCCCUCACCCCUCACCUCUCACCCCCGCGCGCCCGGUGCGCACCCGUUUCGGCGGGUGCACGAGUCCAGAGCAUGUGCGCGCUUCCGGCUGCCCCCUCCUGGCUUUGACCCAGCACUGCUGGACCCAUCUAGUCCGUUCCUCACACUCGCGGACUGGAAGCUCCAGGCUGCACAACCACCAACUGCACCAACCAUGUGCCUAAAGCUAACUGUGUCAAAAAGAGCAUGCUUCGAGGGGCUGGAGUGAGCAAUUCAACUUGUGGAGAAAUAAGAAAUAAUAGUGUUGAGACAAGAAACAUAAAACCGCAGGAACUUUUGGAGAAAGAUUUCUUGGGAGGAAGCUAUCCUGAACGCUUAGAGACUUUUCUCAUUUACUGGCACACCAGCUUUAGAGUCCUAGGUCUUCAUCCUGGCUCAGCCACCCUCCAGCUGUGUGAACUUUGAGAAGUUGCUUGACUACACUGAGUCUCGUUGUCACUAUGAGUGG